rnacentral:tRNA from 1 species
UGGCUCAGAUGGUAAAGCAUCUGCCUGCAAUGCAGGAGAUCUAGGUUUGAUCCCUGG